rnacentral:misc_RNA from 1 species
AACGCACAUUGCGCCCGCCAGUAUUCUGGCGGGCAUGCCUGUUCGAGCGUCAUUUCAACCCUCAAGCCCCCUCGGGCUUGGUGUUGGGGAUCGGCCGCGGCGACCUGUCGCGGGCGGCCGGCCCCGAAAUCUAGUGGCGGUCUCGCUGUAGCCUCCUCUGCGUAGUAGCAACACCUCGCCCUGGAAGACAGCGCGGCCACGCCGUAAAACCCCCCAGUUUUACUGAAGGUUGACCUCGGAUCAGGUAGGAAUACCCGCUGAACUUAA